CUUGGUUUCAAGAGAAAUGCAUUGAAAGAGAGAAAUGAAACUACCAAGGUCUAAUACAUGUAACUUCUACUUUCUGAUGUUUUCUAAUGUUUUCUAAUUUAUGAUGCAUGUAUUUUUUUUAUUCGGAAAAUAAUGCUGGGUUCUUUUUACACCGUUACACAGUCAUGGAGUAAAGACGUGUUGAAAUGUACAUCGUAGCCAGACAAAUACAGAAACACAAUGCUUACGAACUGCAUCUCCGAAAUACUGUCACAUGUGUAUUUUAUUUGCAUCUUGGAACAUAUUGUACAAUAAGCUAUAACGUUUUUACCAGGCUAUCCAUUUAUCCCGUUCGCGAAUCACAACACACAUAUAACUUUGAUACGCUCGGGGGAAUGUAUACUGCAAACUUUCACCCAAUGACCUUUUGCUAAGCCCCCGUUUUGGGAAACCAGUUGCAGUGCUCCAGUGGAUAGCAGCUGUCUUCCAGUCCGACACGUUGGACAAGCUCACGUUUAAAACGCAUGAGAGCUAAUGAAGGCUGUGGCAAAAACUGCGUUUUCUUCAAAAAAAAAAUCUUAGACUAGUCUGAGUCAUAAUUGUUGAUGGCAGAGGCUAAGAAAGACAGUAAAGGGACUUUCAAGGGACUUCAAGGAUUCAAUAACGUUUUUUUCAGGACAAGCAGCCAACGAGUUCUCACGGCGUGACGUGGAUGCAUCGGAGAAAAAGACGUGCAAGGGAAUAAACGCCCGUUUCAAGGAACCAACCUGUGUCUUGUCGUGAAGAGAGCUACAUGCCCCUUGUCAUUGUACAUCUGAAGCAGAGAAUAGCUGAACUCACAAAUCAUCUCCAUAUUGUUGAGAUAGCUAUAUGUUCUCAAUUGUAAAUGCCAAGAGUGUGCAAAUCUGUCAUCAAGGCAAAUGGUGGCUACUUUGAAGAAUCUCAAAUAUAAAAUAUAUUUAGAUUUGUUUAACACUUUGAUUACUACAUGAUUCCAUACGUGUUAUUUCAUAGUUUGUCUUCACUAUUAUUCUACAAUGUAGAAAAAUAGUAAAAAUAAAGAAAAAAAACUUGAAUGAGUAUGUGUGUCCAAACUCUUGACUGGUACUGUGUAUAUAUACAUAUAUAUACACCCACACACACAGUGGCAAGAAAAAGUAUGUGAACCCUUUUGGAAUUACCUGGAUUUCUGCAUAAAUUGGUCAUAAAAUUUGACCUGAUCUUCAUCUAAGUCACAACAAUAGACAAGCAGUCUGCUUAAACUAAUAACACACAAUGUGUUUUCAUGUCUUUAUUGAACACACCGUGUAAACAUUCACUGUAGGGUGGAAAAAGUAUGUGAACCCUUGGAUUUAAUAACUGGUUGACCCUCCUUUGGCAGCAAUAACCUCAACCAAAUGUUUUCUGUAGUUGCGGAUCAGACAUGCACAGCGGUCAGGAGGAAUUUUGGACCAUUCAUCUUUACAGAACUGUUUCAGUUCAGCAAUAUUCUUAGGAUGUCUGGUGUGAAUUGCUCGAGGUCAUACCACAGCAUUUUAAAUUGGGAUGAGGUCAGGACUCUGACUGGGCCUCUCCAGAAGGUGUAUUUUCUUCUGUUGAAGCCAUUCUGUUGUUGAUUUACUUCUGUGUUUUGGGUCGUGGUCCUGUUGCAUCACCCAACUUCUGUUGAGCUUCAAUUGGCGGACAGAUAGCCUUACCUUCUCCUACAAAAUGUCUUGAUAAACUUGGGAAUUCAUUUUCCGUCCAUGAUAGCAAGCUGUCCAGGCCCUGAGGCAGCAAAGCAGCCCCAAACCAAAAUGCUCCCUCCACCAUACUUUACAGUUGGGAUUAGCAUGUUCCAGAGAUUUCUGUAAGUCUUUAGCUGACACUCUAGGAAUCUUCUUAACCUCAUUGAGCAUUCUGCACUGUGCUCUUGCAGUCAUCUUUGCUGGACGGCCACUCCUAGGGAGAGUAGCAACAGUGCUGAACUUUCUCCAUUUAUAGACAAUUUGUCUUACUGCAGACUGACGAACAUCAAGGUUUUUAGAGAUACUUUUGUAACCCUUUCCAGCUUUAUAUAAGUUAACAAUUAUUAGGUCUUCUGCGCUCUCUUUUGUUUGAGGCAUGGUUCACAUCAGGCAAUGCUUCUUGUGAAUAGAAAACUCCA
rnacentral:lncRNA from 1 species